rnacentral:rRNA from 1 species
AUUGAACGCUGGCGGCAGGCCUAACACAUGCAAGUCGAACGAGUUGCGGACGGGUGAGUAAUGUCUGGGAAACUGCCUGAUGGAGGGGGAUAACUACUGGAAACGGUAGCUAAUACCGCAUACCAUCGGAUGUGCCCAGAUGGGAUUUGCUAGUAGGUGGGGUAAAGGCUCACCUAGGCGACGAUCACUAGCUGGUCUGAGUGGAUGACCAGCCAAACUGGAACGGAGACACGGGCCCGACUCCUACGGGAGGCAGCAGUGGGGAAUAUUGCACAAUGGGGGCAAGCCUGAUGGAGCCAUGCCGCGUGUAUGAAGAAGGCCUUCGGGUUGUAAAGUACUGUCAGCGGGGAGGCGGUACCCGCAGAAGAAGCACCGGCUAACUCCGUGCCAGCAGCCGCGGUAAUAC